ACUGCGUCUUCUUCUCCAUAGUUUUUUAUCUCUGCUCCCAGUCAUGUUCCUGACCUUAUUUGCACUAUAGUUUCUGGGAUUCUGUACCUCUCCUCUGCAUCUUGGACACUGUACACUUCAUUCCUUUUGGGCCUCUCCUGCCAUGCUCUUAUAUGAAAGUGAGACACUAGGCAUGUCGAAGUACUUGCAAUAGGUUAUGCAGGUCAUCCCUCCAGAGGUUUUUUUUUUUUAAUUUUAGAAUUGAAUGCUUCCCACGUUACAUUACAAAACAAUCACCUGCAGUUUUUAUUCUGCCCAUUUUUAGAUGAACUGUCCAAAGGAAGCAGGUGACAACCUACCACGGCAGCCACAGAUCACCUCCUGUUGUGAUAUACCUGGGAUAUUCCUAGACUUACACCGUUGCUUCAUACUAUUAAACAGUUUGUGUUUGCAGGCUAUUCAGGCAUUGCCAUGUUGGCCAGUCUGUAUCAGCCCCCCUAAGAAGGUCCUCCUGGGGGUUCCAGGUCCAUUUCAGAGCAUCUGAUUGCAUGUAAUCUUUCCUUCCAUAACCUCAGUUGCACCCUGUCAGAUGUUAUGUCCAAUGGUGCAACACUGGUCACAAAACGGUUUCACACUUUAAGCUGUUUAGUUACUUCACUGUGACCAUAGAGUGGAUGCCUGGGACCUUCCAUCUGCCAUGAACUUUGUUUUUGGCUCACUACCUUUCUUCUCAAAACAGGUGGUACAAUGGCAGCCAGUAAGUACAAGCUAUCCUUUGGUGUGGCUCUAGACAUCCUGUUAUUUCAUGACAGCUGUUGUUUAGAAGUGGGUCUAGUUUCUUGGCAUGAACUGAUCAUUCCUAUAUUGGACAUGCAUACAAUGCUUGAAUAUACAGUGAACAUAUAAUCACAACUAUAUAUUUUUAAUAGAACACUUUGUCAUGUUAUAUGUUCACUGGUAGCUUGUUCUACUUACCUAAUUUUAAGAUUCCGCUCCUUUUGUAAUUAAACAAAAAACUGCGUAAUUUGAUUUUGAGCAUUGUUCAUUGUUUUAAAAGCCUAGAUUAUGCGAAUUAAAAGCAAGAACUUGAAAGUCUCUAUUUUUUACUUUUCAAGCACAUCUGUAAGUCUCAAAAGAUUUGAGAAACAAGAAGAUGACUCUGCAUAUGUUAAAAAAGGCAUUACCUCACAGUGCAAAAAUCCCUACUGCCAGCAAAUAUUUUCUUGUAGACUACUAAAGAAAAAAGAGGGAGAGACUCAAAUACUCAUGCAUGAUUGUGAUUCCUUCCCAGACUAGGUCAUUUCUGCUGCUUAACAAGUUUGGAUGUUCUCCAGAAGCAAAAUGUAUUUUAUCCAAAUAAAUUAAAAGUAGAAAUAUUGCAACAAAAUUCUAUCAAUAGCAAGUGUGUUGUCAAUGUUCUCAGUUUCCAAGAGAUUGCCAGGUUGUAGUUCACAUAUUCUAUGUUUAGCUUCUUCUUUCUUCAGAGUUUAAUCAUUAUAAAGAUUUGGUAAUAGUAAUUUGGAAUAAUAAAGUGCAGUUGGGAUCUGAUCUGAGGCCCACUGAAGACUCCCACUGAUUUCCAUUAAUUUUGGAGCAGACCCUUAAUGUUAAAAAUAAUAAAAAUAUCUGCUAUGUAUUGUCGUCUAACAGGGAAGAUUACCUAAGUGGCAUUUCUCAGAAGCUAAAAAUGAUUCCAGGGUUUAUAGACCUGAUUCAGUUUAAUAGUAAGCCCCU